rnacentral:rRNA from 1 species
AUGAACGCUGGCGGCGUGCCUAAUACAUGCAAGUCGAGCGAACAGACGAGUAGCUUGCUCCUCUUACGUUAGCGGCGUACGGGUGAGUAACACGUUGCUAACCUACCUAUAAGACUGGGGUAACUUCGGGAAACCGGCUCUAAUACCUGAUAAUAUCUUCAACCGCAUGGUUCCAUAGUGUAUUACGGUUUUGCUGUCUCUUAUAGAUGGAUCCGCGCCGCAUUAGCUAGUUGGUAAGGUAACGGCUUACCAAGGCAACGAUGCGUAGCCUACCUGAGAGGGUGAUCGGCCACACUGGAACUGAGACACGGUCCAGACUCCUACGGGAGGCAGCAGUAGGGAAUCUUCCGCAAUGGGCGAAAGCUUGACGGAGCAACGCCGCGUGAGUGAUGAAGGUCUUCGGAUCGUAAAACUCUGUUAUUAGGGAAGAACAAAUGUGGAAGUAAAUAUGCACGUCUUGACGGUACCUAAACAGAAAGCCACGGCUAACUACGUG